AUUGAACGCUGGCGGCAUGCCUUACACAUGCAAGUCGAACGGUAACAGGUCUUCGGAUGCUGACGAGUGGCGAACGGGUGAGUAAUACAUCGGAACGUGCCUAGUAGUGGGGGAUAACUACUCGAAAGAGUGGCUAAUACCGCAUGAGAUCUACGGAUGAAAGCAGGGGAUCGCAAGACCUUGUGCUACUAGAGCGGCCGAUGGCAGAUUAGGUAGUUGGUGGGAUAAAAGCUUACCAAGCCGACGAUCUGUAGCUGGUCUGAGAGGACGAUCAGCCACACUGGGACUGAGACACGGCCCAGACUCCUACGGGAGGCAGCAGUGGGGAAUUUUGGACAAUGGGCGAAAGCCUGAUCCAGCAAUGCCGCGUGCAGGAUGAAGGCCUUCGGGUUGUAAACUGCUUUUGUACGGAACGAAAAGCCCUGGGUUAAUACCCUGGGGUCAUGACGGUACCGUAAGAAUAAGCACCGGCUAACUACGUGCCAGCCGCCGCCGUAAUAC
rnacentral:rRNA from 1 species